AACGUAGGAGACAAACGUUAUCCGGAUUUACUGGGCGUAAAGGGCGUGUAGGUGGUUGCGUAAGUCUGGCGUGAAAUAUCUCGGCUUAACCGAGGCAGGUCGUCGGAUACUGCGUAACUGGAGGACGGUAGAGGCGUGUGGAAUUCCGGGUGUAGUGGUGAAAUGCGUAGAGAUCCGGAGGAACACCAGUGGCGAAGGCGACACGCUGGGCCGUACCUGACACUGAUGCGCGACAGCAUGGGGAGCAAACAGG
rnacentral:rRNA from 1 species